rnacentral:rRNA from 1 species
UACAGAGACUGCAAGCGUUAUUCGGAUUCACUGGGCGUAAAGGGUGCGCAGGCGGUUGGGUGUGUCAGAUGAUGAAAUCCCGGAGGCUUAACCUCGGACUGCGUCUGAAACUACUCGACUAGAGUACUGGAGAGGGAAACGGAAUUCACGGUGUAGCAGUGAAAUGCGUAGAUAUCGUGAGGAACACCAGAGGCGAAGGCGGUUUCCUGGACAGUUACUGACGCUCAGGCACGAAAGCAUGGGGAGCAACAGG